ensembl:rRNA 5S_rRNA 5S ribosomal RNA
GCUUACGGCCAUACCACCCUGAGCUCGUCAGAUCUCGGAAGCUAAGCAGGGUUGGGCUUGGUUAGUACUCGGAUGGUAGACUGCCUGGGAAUACCAGGUGCUGUAAGCU